rnacentral:rRNA from 1 species
UGGGGAAUUUUGGACAAUGGGCGAAAGCCUGAUCCAGCAAUGCCGCGUGUGUGAAGAAGGCCUUCGGGUUGUAAAGCACUUUUGUCCGGAAAGAAAUCCUUGGCUCUAAUACAGUCGGGGGAUGACGGUACCGGAAGAAUAAGCACCGGCUAACUACGUGCCAGCAGCCGCGGUAAUACGUAGGGUGCAAGCGUUAAUCGGAAUUACUGGGCGUAAAGCGUGCGCAGGCGGUUUGCUAAGACCGAUGUGAAAUCCCCGGGCUCAACCUGGGAACUGCAUUGGUGACUGGCAGGCUAGAGUAUGGCAGAGGGGGGUAGAAUUCCACGUGUAGCAGUGAAAUGCGUAGAGAUGUGGAGGAAUACCGAUGGCGAAGGCAGCCCCCUGGGCCAAUACUGACGCUCAUGCACGAAAGCGUGGGGGAGCAAACAGGAUUAGAUACCCUGGUAGUCCACGCCACUAAACGAUGUCAACUAGUUGUUGGGGGAUUCAUUUCCUUAGUAACGUAGCUAACGCGUGAAGUUGACCGCCUGGGGAGUACGGUCGCAAGAUUAAAACU